UUAAGCGACUAAGCGUACACGGUGGAUGCCCUGGCAGUCAGAGGCGAUGAAGGACGUGCUAAUCUGCGAAAAGCGUCGGUAAGGUGAUAUGAACCGUUACAGCCGGCGAUGUCCGAAUGGGGAAACCCAGUGCAAUUCGUUGCACUAUCGUUAACUGAAUACAUAGGUUAACGAGGCGAACCGGGGGAACUGAAACAUCUAAGUACCCCGAGGAAAAGAAAUCAACCGAGAUUCCCCCAGUAGCGGCGAGCGAACGGGGAGCAGCCCAGAGUCUGAAUCAGCUUGUGUGUUAGUGGAACGGUCUGGAAAGUCCGACGGUACAGGGUGAUAGUCCCGUACACCAAAAUGCACAGGUUGUGAACUCGAAGAGUAGGGCGGGACACGUGGUAUCCUGUCUGAAUAUGGGGACCAUCCUCCAAGGCUAAAUACUCCUGACUGACCGAUAGUGAACCAGUACCGUGAGGGAAAGGCGAAAAGAACCCCGGCGAGGGAGUGAAAAGAACCUGAAACCGUGUACGUACAAGCAGUGGGAGCACCUUCGGGUGUGACUGCGUACCUUUGUAUAAUGGGUCAGCGACUUAUAUUCUGUAGCAAGGUUAACCGUAUAGGGGAGCCGCAGGGAAACCGAGUCUUAACUGGGCGUUAAGUUGCAGGGUAUAGACCCGAAACCCGGUGAUUCAGCCAUGGGCAGGUUGAAGGUUGGGUAACACUAACUGGAGGACCGAACCGACUAAUGUUGAAAAAUUAGCGGAUGACUUGUGGCUGGGGGGUGAAAGGCCAAUCAAACCGGGAGAUAGCUGGUUCUCCCCGAAAGCUAUUUAGGUAGCGCCUCGUGAACUCAUCUUCGGGGGUAGAGCACUGUUUCGGCUAGGGGGUCAUCCCGACUUACCAACCCGAUGCAAACUACGAAUACCGAAGAAUGUUAUCACGGGAGACACACGGCGGGUGCUAACGUCCGUCGUGAAGAGGGAAACAACCCAGACCGCCAGCUAAGGUCCCAAAGUCAUGGUUAAGUGGGAAACGAUGUGGGAAGGCACAGACAGCCAGGAUGUUGGCUUAGAAGCAGCCAUCAUUUAAAGAAAGCGUAAUAGCUCACUGGUCGAGUCGGCCUGCGCGGAAGAUGUAACGGGGCUAAACCAUGCACCGAAGCUGCGGCAGCGACACUAUGUGUUGUUGGGUAGGGGAGCGUUCUGUAAGCCUGCGAAGGUGUGCUGUGAGGCAUGCUGGAGGUAUCAGAAGUGCGAAUGCUGACAUAAGUAACGAUAAAGCGGGUGAAAAGCCCGCUCGCCGGAAGACCAAGGGUUCCUGUCCAACGUUAAUCGGGGCAGGGUGAGUCGACCCCUAAGGCGAGGCCGAAAGGCGUAGUCGAUGGGAAACAGGUUAAUAUUCCUGUACUUGGUGUUACUGCGAAGGGGGGACGGAGAAGGCUAUGUUAGCCGGGCGACGGUUGUCCCGGUUUAAGCAUGUAGGCUGGUUAUCCAGGCAAAUCCGGAUAAUCAAGGCUGAGGUGUGAUGACGAGGCACUACGGUGCUGAAGUAACAAAUGCCCUGCUUCCAGGAAAAGCCUCUAAGCAUCAGGUAACAUCAAAUCGUACCCCAAACCGACACAGGUGGUCAGGUAGAGAAUACCAAGGCGCUUGAGAGAACUCGGGUGAAGGAACUAGGCAAAAUGGUGCCGUAACUUCGGGAGAAGGCACGCUGGUGUGUAGGUGAAGUCCCUGCGGAUGGAGCUGAGACCAGUCGAAGAUACCAGCUGGCUGCAACUGUUUAUUAAAAACACAGCACUGUGCAAACACGAAAGUGGACGUAUACGGUGUGACGCCUGCCCGGUGCCGGAAGGUUAAUUGAUGGGGUUAUCCGUAAGGAGAAGCUCUUGAUCGAAGCCCCGGUAAACGGCGGCCGUAACUAUAACGGUCCUAAGGUAGCGAAAUUCCUUGUCGGGUAAGUUCCGACCUGCACGAAUGGCGUAAUGAUGGCCAGGCUGUCUCCACCCGAGACUCAGUGAAAUUGAACUCGCUGUGAAGAUGCAGUGUACCCGCGGCAAGACGGAAAGACCCCGUGAACCUUUACUAUAGCUUGACACUGAACAUUGAGCCUUGAUGUAGGAUAGGUGGGAGGCUUUGAAGCGUGGACGCCAGUCUGCGUGGAGCCAACCUUGAAAUACCACCCUUUAAUGUUUGAUGUUCUAACGUUGGCCCCUGACCGGGGUUGCGGACAGUGUCUGGUGGGUAGUUUGACUGGGGCGGUCUCCUCCCAAAGCGUAACGGAGGAGCACGAAGGUUAGCUAAUCCUGGUCGGACAUCAGGAGGUUAGUGCAAUGGCAUAAGCUAGCUUGACUGCGAGCGUGACGGCGCGAGCAGGUGCGAAAGCAGGUCAUAGUGAUCCGGUGGUUCUGAAUGGAAGGGCCAUCGCUCAACGGAUAAAAGGUACUCCGGGGAUAACAGGCUGAUACCGCCCAAGAGUUCAUAUCGACGGCGGUGUUUGGCACCUCGAUGUCGGCUCAUCACAUCCUGGGGCUGAAGUAGGUCCCAAGGGUAUGGCUGUUCGCCAUUUAAAGUGGUACGCGAGCUGGGUUUAGAACGUCGUGAGACAGUUCGGUCCCUAUCUGCCGUGGGCGCUGGAGAAUUGAGGGGGGCUGCUCCUAGUACGAGAGGACCGGAGUGGACGCAUCACUGGUGUUCGGGUUGUCAUGCCAAUGGCACUGCCCGGUAGCUAAAUGCGGAAGAGAUAAGUGCUGAAAGCAUCUAAGCACGAAACUUGCCCCGAGAUGAGUUCUCCCUGAGACUAUAAGUCUCCUGAAGGAACGUUAAAGACGAUGACGUUGAUAGGCCGGGUGUGUAAGCGCAGCGAUGCGUUGAGCUAACCGGUACUAAUGAACCGUGAGGCUUAACCU
rnacentral:rRNA from 1 species